UACAGAGGGUGCGAGCGUUAAUCGGAAUUACUGGGCGUAAAGCGCGCGUAGGCGGCUUUGCAAGUCGGGUGUGAAAUCCCCAGGCUUAACCUGGGAACUGCAUUCGAGACUGCAUUGCUAGAGUAUGGGAGAGGGAAGUGGAAUUUCAGGUGUAGGGGUGAAAUGCGUAGAUAUCUGAAGGAACAUCAGUGGCGAAAGCGACUUCCUGGACCAAUACUGACGCUCAUGUGCGAAAGCGUGGGGAGCAAACAGA
rnacentral:rRNA from 1 species